CCUACGGGAGGCAGCAGUAGGGAAUAUUGGUAAUGUGCGAAAGCGCGAACCAGCAACGCCGCGUGCGCGAUGAAGGCCUUCGGGUUGUAAAGCGCUUUUUAAGGGGAUGAGGAAGGACGGUACCCUUAGAAUAAGCCUCGGCUAACUACGUGCCAGCAGCCGCGGUAAAACGUAGGAGGCGAGCGUUAUCCGGAUUUACUGGGCGUAAAGCGUGUGUAGGCGGUUUGAUAAGUUGGAUGUGAAAGCUCCUGGCUUAACUGGGAGAGGUCGUUCAAAAAUAUCAGACUUGAGAGUGGUAGAGGGAGGUGGAAUUCCGCGUGUAGUGGUGAAAUGCGUAGAUAUGCGGAGGAACACCAGUGGCGAAAGCGGCCUCCUGGCCCAUUUCUGACGCUCAGACACAAAAGCUAAGGUAGCAAACGGGAUUAGAGACCCCGGUAGUCUUAGCUGUAAACGAUGUGAACUUAGUGUCGGUGGGGUUAAAUCCAUCGGUACUGAAGCAAACGCGAUAAGUUCACCGCCUGGGGACUACGGCCGCAAGGUUAAAACUCAAAGGAAUUGACGGGGCCCCGCACAAGCAGCGGAGCGUGUGGUUUAAUUCGAUGUUACACGAAGAACCUUACCAAGGUUUGACGUGUAGGUGGUAGGAAGCCGAAAGGCCUACGACCCUUCGGGGAGCUAUGAGAAGGGCGAAUUCCACACACCUUGGGGGGCGUUUCUAGUGGAUCCA
rnacentral:rRNA from 1 species